ACAGGUUCUCACACACCUCCAUCACAUUCAGGAGGUGGCCAUGGAACACCGUCGCAUGGAAGCGGUAGCCACGGAGGAACACCACCUGCGAACUGUGGUAACCCCGCCCCUAGUGGCGGGCAUCACCACAACCCUACUCCAUCGCCUCCUUCAGGAGGCCAUGGAGGUGGUGGUUACUAUCCCUCCCCUCCAUCUCAUGGUGGAAGCCCUCCAAGUACUCCUAGUACCCCCAGUACACCAUCCACCCCCUCCACACCUACUAUUGUAACCCCACCUACACCUCCUACAAUAGACCCUGGCACUCCAAGUACUCCAGGGGGUGGUUACUAUGGUGGAAGUCCUCCAAGUAUUCCUACCCCUAGUAUUACACCCCCUACCCCUUCUACACCUAUCAUUGAAACACCACCAACUACUCCAGUCGUUGAAACACCACCAACUACUCCUACCAUUGAUCCAGGUACUCCAAGUGCUCCAGGGGUCUUUCCAAUUGACCCCAACUCACCACCUUUUACAUGCGAGUAAGUCAAAUGAAAAUUAUUCUUUGUUUCAUUUUAUAUGGCAGCAUUUGACUAGACAUACAAUUUAAGAAAGAGAAUUUUUUAACGUAUAUCUAAAGUACCUAAUGAGAACUUGUAAUCUUAAACAUAUCAUGACAUUUAUACAAUUAUACCAGCAUAUAUAUCAUUAACGGUGAAGGUGUGAUUCUGUUUAGAAAAGACUAGGAAAAGCGCAUCAUAUGAACGGAACAGAGGCAGUAUAAACUUUUGCACUUUUAACUACAAUAUGAGUGGCAUGUCCUAACAUGAAAUGUUAUGAACUGCAGCUACUGGAGGACUCACCCAACACUGAUAUGGGGCAUACUCGGCUGGUGGGGAAGUGUAGGCAAUGCAUUUGGUGUGGCUAGUGUUCCAGCUUUGGGAGCAAACAUGAACUUACUGCAAGCACUUUCAAACACUCGCCCAGAUGGCUUAGGGGAGCUUUACAGAGAAGGAACAGCUUCUUUAUUGAACUCCAUGGUUAGCAGGAGGUUCACCUACACUACAAACCAAGUCAAGAAUAGUUUUGUCACAGCACUC
rnacentral:lncRNA from 1 species